CAGUAGCCGCGGGAAUACAGAGGGUGCGAGCGUUAAUCGGAUUUACUGGGCGUAAAGCGUGCGUAGGCGGCUUUUUAAGUCGGAUGUGAAAUCCCUGAGCUUAACUUAGGAAUUGCAUUCGAUACUGGGAAGCUAGAGUAUGGGAGAGGAUGGUAGAAUUCCAGGUGUAGCGGUGAAAUGCGUAGAGAUCUGGAGGAAUACCGAUGGCGAAGGCAGCCAUCUGGCCUAAUACUGACGCUGAGGUACGAGAGCAUGGGGAGCAAACAGGAUUAGAUACCCCUGUAGUCCCUGUCUCUUAUAC
rnacentral:rRNA from 1 species